AGCUAGUGGUUUCACAGACCAGUUGGCUUUCUUUUACUCCUGGACCUUUUACUGCAUGCGCCGCGACAGUCCAACUUUGAGUGGGAACGCUCACCUGAAUUCUCUGGACCAUUCUAAACUGGAGUGGAUCACUCAGUGGAAAAAAAAAAGGCUUGAUUGUUUGCCCUUUAAGGCCUUGUGCUUGUUAGACAGUUGUGUAAAAAAUUUCACUUCAUGUUGUACUAUUUAUGUAUGUGUGUUUGGAUGUGUUUGUGACCAAUACAAUUUAAAUUUAAAUUUGAAAGCACUCUUCUUUUCUUCUGUUACAGCCUCAAAGAACCAACUUCUUCUUCUAUGGUUGUUGAGGCAAACACUAAAAGUUCUAAAAAUCCAUGAUGGGUCAGCAGCUCUGCAGAUGAUUCCCCGGAAACCAAUCAGACAGAAAGGAGAGCUGGACCAGGUUGCACAAGUGCUACUAACAUAAUGAGGGCUGCUGGUCACCUAGUCAUGCUAAUUUAGGAGGAACUGAGUUUAUGGUGCAUUCCACACGCUGCACUCUACUGCCUGUAACACAGAAGAAACAAACCACAGAAAUAAAACCAUAAAACUCACUUUUUCGCAGCAAAUGCUGCUUAAGGAAAGA